rfam:Pantoea stewartii subsp. stewartii DC283 WGS_Sequence28, whole genome shotgun sequence.
GCAGAGAGCCUGAAAGGGCAACGGCACAAGACCGGAGCGAGAAGUCAGCAGAGGCCAUAGUAGCCGAACAGAUGUAAAAUUUGAGCGGUGAAGGGC